rnacentral:misc_RNA from 1 species
GAUGAAGAACGUAGCGAAAUGGGAUAAGUAAUGUGAAUUGCAGAAUUCAGUGAAUCAUCGAAUCUUUGAACGCACAUUGCGCCCCCUGGUAUUCCGGGGGGCAUGCCUGUCCGAGCGUCAUUACAACCCUCAAGCUCAGCUUGGUGUUGGGCCCCGCCGCCCCGGCGGGCCCUAAAGUCAGUGGCGGUGCCGUCCGGCUCCGAGCGUAGUAAUUCUUCUCGCUCUGGAGGUCCGGUCGUGUGCUCGCCAGCAACCCCCAAUUUUUUUCAGGUUGACCUCGGAUCAGGGAGGGAUACCCGCUGAACUUAAGCAUAUCAAUAAGCGGAGGA